GGGGGGGGGGGGGGGGGGGGGGGGGGGGGGGGGGGGGGCUGCCCCGCUCGGGCCGCGCGGGGGAGGCGGCGCCGCGCCGGGCGCGCUCCCUCCGCGCCCGCGGGUACCGGCUGUGCGUGCGGACCGCAGAGCGCCUUUCGUGCCGAGGAGGGCUGCAGCUACGGGGGGGUGGUUUUCCAGUUAAAUUUCGGGGUUUGUUUUCGGCGAAAUCGCGUGUUUGGCUGAUCUUAAAAAAAAAGAAAAAGAAAAAGAAAAAGAAGUUAGAAACAAGGCGAUAUAAUUGGAUGCGUGCAAAGAUGUGCACGUGUUCGUAUUUGUGUAUUGAUUGCUGUUAUAUGCUGUCUAGAUUGCAGUACGUAAAUCUAAUGGGUGUUAUGCACACAGGAACGCAUGGAGUACACCCCAUGCGCACAGCACAGAGGUUGGAAUCCAGCUUUAACUCAAAGGCCUGA
rnacentral:lncRNA from 12 species